UUUUUAAAGAUUUAUCCAUUUCUACCGUUAAAAAUUAGUGUGGUUGACAUAUAACCAGGCAGUUACAAGUGGCUUGCUAUGUGUAUCUCAUUUUGAUGUAUAAAAAUCAUAUUUUUAAUAAGAAAAAUAGAUGAAAUUCUUAAUA
rfam:Gossypium hirsutum cultivar TM-1 chromosome 9, whole genome shotgun sequence